UACGGAGGGUGCAAGCGUUAUCCGGAUUUAUUGGGCGUAAAGAGCUCGUAGGCGGUUUGUCGCGUCGGCUGUGAAAACCUGGGGCUCAACCCCGGGCCUGCAGCCGAUACGGGCAAACUAGAAUUCGGUAGGGGAGACUGGAAUUCCUGGUGUAGCGGUGAAAUGCGCAGAUAUCAGGAGGAACACCGGUGGCGAAGGCGGGUCUCUGGGCCGAUAUUGACGCUGAGGAGCGAAAGCGUGGGGAGCGAACAGG
rnacentral:rRNA from 1 species